AAAGAGAUCAGGAACAAGUAAACAAGUAAAUGGCUUAAUCAGAGUAGGGGAGAGAACAGACAGGUUACUUUGAAUAGGUAAAUAGAAUGUAAGAGGAGGAAGAGGAGGACAAUGAGGAAUAUGGAACAAGGAUCAAAACGGGGAGGAGGAGGAGGAGGAGGAGUUGUAAAAGCGAGAGAUAAAAGAGAGUAAGAACAUAUUAUUUUCACAGUAAAGGAGCAGCUCAAGUGCCAAAAAAUAAAUAAAAGAACAAAAAAACAUGUGCAUUGUCCUUAUAAAAGAAAGUAGAGAAGUAAACGAAUGAAAGGAUAAUCAAAAGACGGGAAAGAAGAAAAGAAAAACGGGAAACAGUCAAACAGGGAGGCAAGUCAAAACGUUCAUAAGGGUAACUACUUUAUUUUAACCAUAGGUGGGCCUAGGAGAAAUAAAGGAGUAUAGAAAUAAACAAAUCAAAGCAUAAACAAAAGACGGACAAGAAAAGAAAAACGGGAAACAGCCAAACAGGGAGGCAAGUCAAAAGUGGUUAAAAGGGGUAACUACUUUAAUUUAACCAUAGUUGGGCGUAGAGAAGUAACGAACGAUUAUAAAAAAUAAACAAAUCAGAGCAUAACCAAAAGACGGGCAAGAAAAGAAAACGGGAAACAGUCAAACAGGGUUGCGAGUCAAAACGUUCAUAAGGGUAACUACUUUAUUUUAACCAUAGUGGACCUAGAGAAGUAAAGAACGAGUAGAAAAAUAUACAAAUCAAAGCAUAACCAAAAGACGGACAAGAAAAGAAAAACGGGAAACAGUCAAACAGGGAGGCAAGUCAAAAGUGGUUAAAAGGGGUAACUACUUUAAUUUAACCAUAGGUGGGCCUAGGAGAAAUAAAGGAGUAUAGAAAUAAACAAAUCAAAGCAUAAACAAAAGACGGACAAGAAAAGGAAAACGGGAAACAGCCAAACAGGGAGGCAAGUCAAAAGUGGUUAAAAGGGGUAACUACUUUAAUUUAACCAUAGUUGGGCGUAGAGAAGUAACGAACGAUUAUAAAAAAUAAACAAAUCAGAGCAUAACCAAAAGACGGGCAAGAAAAGAAAACGGGAAACAGUCAAACAGGGUUGCGAGUCAAAACGUUCAUAAGGGUAUCUACUUUAUUUUAACCAUAGUGGACCUAGAGAAGUAAAGAACGAGUAGAAAAAUAUACAAAUCAAAGCAAAACCAAAAGACGGACAAGAAAAGAAAAACGGGAAACAGUCAAACAGGGAGGCAAGUCAAAAGUGGUUAAAAGGGGUAACUACUUUAAUUUAACCAUAGGUGGGCCUAGGAGAAAUAAAGGAGUAUAGAAAUAAACAAAUCAAAGCAUAAACAAAAGACGGACAAGAAAAGAAAAACGGGAAACAGCCAAACAGGGAGGCAAGUCAAAAGUGGUUAAAAGGGGUAACUACUUCAAUUUAACCAUAGUUGGGCGUAGAGAAGUAACGAACGAUUAGAAAAAUAAACAAAUCAAAGCAUAACCAAAAGAC